AGGUUAAGUUAAUAAGGGCGCACGGUGGAUGCCUUGGCACUAGGAGCCGACGAAGGACGUGACAAACGACGAUAUGCCUUGGGUAGCUGUAAGUAAGCGAUGAUCCAGGGAUUUCCGAAUGGGGGAACCCAACAGGUAAUACCUGUUACCUACAUCUGUUAAGGAUGUGAGGAGGAAGACGCAGUGAACUGAAACAUCUAAGUAGCUGCAGGAAGAGAAAGCAAAAGCGAUUGCCUUAGUAGCGGCGAGCGAAACGGCAGAAGGGCAAACCGAAGAGUUUACUCUUCGGGGUUGUAGGACUGCAAUGUGGACUCAAAGAUUAUAGAAGAAUGAUUUGGGAAGAUCAGCCAAAGAGAGUAAUAGCCUCGUAUUUAAAAUAGUCUUUGUACUUAGCAGUAUCCUGAGUACGGCGGGGACACGUGAAAUCCCGUCGGAAUCUGGGAGGACCAUCUCCCAACCCUAAAUACUCCCUAGUGACCGAUAGUGAACCAGUACCGUGAGGGAAAGGUGAAAAGCACCCCGGGAGGGGAGUGAAAUAGAACCUGAAACCGUGUGCCUACAACAAGUUCGAGCCCGUUAAUGGGUGAGAGCGUGCCUUUUGUAGAAUGAACCGGCGAGUUACGUUAUGAUGCGAGGUUAAGUUGAAGAGACGGAGCCGUAGGGAAACCGAGUCUGAAUAGGGCGCCUUAGUAUCAUGACGUAGACCCGAAACCAUGUGACCUACCCAUGAGCAGGUUGAAGGUGCGGUAAGACGCACUGGAGGACCGAACCAGGCACGUUGAAAAGUGCUUGGAUGACUUGUGGGUAGCGGAGAAAUUCCAAACGAACUUGGAGAUAGCUGGUUCUCUCCGAAAUAGCUUUAGGGCUAGCGUCGACAUUAGAGAUUCUUGGAGGUAGAGCACUGUUUGGGUGAGGGGUCCAUCCCGGAUUACCAAUCUCAGAUAAACUCCGGAAUGCCAAUGAAUUAUGGUCGGCAGUCAGACUGCGAGUGCUAAGAUCCGUAGUCGAAAGGGAAACAGCCCAGACCACCAGCUAAGGUCCCAAAAUAAUUGUUAAGUGGAAAAGGAUGUGGGGUUGCACAGACAACUAGGAUGUUAGCUUAGAAGCAGCUAUUCAUUCAAAGAGUGCGUAAUAGCUCACUAGUCGAGUGACCUGCGCCGAAAAUGUACGGGGCUAAAACAAUUUACCGAAGCUGUGGAUACCUUUAUAGGUAUGGUAGGAGAGCGUUCUAUGUGUGAUGAAGGUAUACCGUGAGGAGUGCUGGAACGCAUAGAAGUGAGAAUGCCGGUAUGAGUAGCGAAAGACAGGUGGAGAAUCCUGUCCACCGUAAGACUAAGGUUUCCAGGGGAAGGCUCGUCCGCCCUGGGUUAGUCGGGACCUAAGGAGAGACCGAAAGGUGUAUCCGAUGGACAACAGGUUGAUAUUCCUGUACUAGAGUAUGUAGUGAUGGAGGGACGCAGUAGGCUAACUAAAGCAGACGAUUGGAAGAGUCUGUCUAAGCAGUGAGGUGUGAAUUGAGUCAAAUGCUUAAUUCUAUAACAUUGAGCUGUGAUGGGGAGCGAAGUUUAGUAGCGAAGUUAGUGACGUCACACUGCCAAGAAAAGCUUCUAGCGUUUAAACAUACUCUACCCGUACCGCAAACCGACACAGGUAGUCGAGGCGAGUAGCCUCAGGUGAGCGAGAGAACUCUCGUUAAGGAACUCGGCAAAAUGACCCCGUAACUUCGGGAGAAGGGGUGCUGACUUAAAGUCAGCCGCAGUGAAUAGGCCCAAGCAACUGUUUAUCAAAAACACAGCUCUCUGCUAAAUCGUAAGAUGAUGUAUAGGGGGUGACGCCUGCCCGGUGCUGGAAGGUUAAGAGGAGUGCUUAGCGUAAGCGAAGGUAUGAAUUGAAGCCCCAGUAAACGGCGGCCGUAACUAUAACGGUCCUAAGGUAGCGAAAUUCCUUGUCGGGUAAGUUCCGACCCGCACGAAAGGCGUAAUGAUUUGGGCACUGUCUCAACGAGAGACUCGGUGAAAUUUUAGUACCUGUGAAGAUGCAGGUUACCCGCGACAGGACGGAAAGACCCCAUGGAGCUUUACUGCAGUUUGAUAUUGAGUGUCUGUACCACAUGUACAGGAUAGGUAGGAGUCUAAGAGAUCGGGACGCCAGUUUCGAAGGAGACGCUGUUGGGAUACUACCCUUGUGUUAUGGCCACUCUAACCCAGAUAGGUGAUCCCUAUCGGAGACAGUGUCUGACGGGCAGUUUGACUGGGGCGGUCGCCUCCUAAAAGGUAACGGAGGCGCCCAAAGGUUCCCUCAGAAUGGUUGGAAAUCAUUCGCAGAGUGUAAAGGUAUAAGGGAGCUUGACUGCGAGAGCUACAACUCGAGCAGGGACGAAAGUCGGGCUUAGUGAUCCGGUGGUUCCGUAUGGAAGGGCCAUCGCUCAACGGAUAAAAGCUACCCUGGGGAUAACAGGCUUAUCUCCCCCAAGAGUUCACAUCGACGGGGAGGUUUGGCACCUCGAUGUCGGCUCGUCGCAUCCUGGGGCUGUAGUCGGUCCCAAGGGUUGGGCUGUUCGCCCAUUAAAGCGGCACGCGAGCUGGGUUCAGAACGUCGUGAGACAGUUCGGUCCCUAUCCGUCGCGGGCGUAGGAAAUUUGAGAGGAUCUGCUCCUAGUACGAGAGGACCAGAGUGGACUUACCGCUGGUGUACCAGUUGUCUUGCCAAAGGCAUCGCUGGGUAGCUAUGUAGGGAAGGGAUAAACGCUGAAAGCAUCUAAGUGUGAAACCCACCUCAAGAUGAGAUUUCCCAUGAUUAUAUAUCAGUAAGAGCCCUGAGAGAUGAUCAGGUAGAUAGGUUAGAAGUGGAAGUGUGGCGACACAUGUAGCGGACUAAUACUAAUAGCUCGAGGACUUAUCCAAA
rnacentral:rRNA from 1 species